GGGCAGCAGUAUACACAGUGCAGAAUCCCCUCCCCCAGAUGGCCGCUCACCAUGCUGAUGUCUUCCAUUGUGCAGCCACAUAAUCCUUUGCUCCGCCCCUCAUUCUCUUUCAGUUACUCUCAGAACAAGGCACCACUCAAAGGAUUAUGUCACCGGAAGUAGUACUGUACAUGAGCAAUGCCACACUUUGUGGUGCUGCCACAUACAGUACUCCAGGAGGACAGGAUGCAGAUGUCCAGAUAAAUGGCCUCAGGGGGCUGCAUGUGGCCUGUGGGCCAUAGUUUGGGGACCCCUGCUUAAGGUUAUCUUUAGCCAAAACUUUGAGAUCUUAAGCUCCCAGACAAACAGCCUCAAAAACCACCUUAUGAAGGAGCUGUACCUAAAAAUAAUGGAAGUCAGGGGAAUAAUUCUCAACUGAAAUCAACCCCAUCACCUUUAGACAGCAAAUCCCCCAAACAGGGACCUUCCAUAGUAGGCUUGG
rnacentral:lncRNA from 1 species